rnacentral:rRNA from 1 species
CCCGCUGAACUUAAGCAUAUCAGUAAGCGGAGGAAAAGAAACUAACAAGGAUUCCCUUAGUAACGGCGAGUGAAACGGGAAGAGCUCAAAUUUAAAAUCUGGCAUCUUUUGGGUGUCCGAAUUGUGAUUGAGAGGGUCUUCUUUUGAUGAAGGUGAUGGCCAAAGUUCUCUGGAAAGGGACAACAAAGAGGGUGACAUUCCCGUCUGGGUCAUUACCGGAGUCAGGAUAAAGGGGGCUCUAAGAGUCGGAUUGUUUGGGAAUGCAGUCCAAAAUGGGUGGUACAUUUCAUCUAAAGCUAAAUAUAUGCAAGAGACCGAUAGCGAACAAGUACCGUGAGGGAAAGAUGAAAAGAACUUUGAAAAGAGAGUUAAAUAGUACGUGAAAUUGUUAAAAGGGAAACGAUUGAGACCAGUGAUGUGGCAGGUCCUUGAGCACACCUUUCGGGGUGUGUGUUUGGGCUUGUCGCGAGUCGACGCUUCUUUUGUGCCUUGGAGAAGACGAGGGGAAAGGUGGCUCCGCCUUCGGGUGGCUGCUUUAUAGUCCCCUUGGGAUACCAGGUGCGGGAGAAGACAUGUAGGGUCGCAAGGCUCACGUCGACGAAAUGGUCUUAAACGACCCGUCUUGAAACACGG